GUGAGCGAAACUCAAAUGGCUGAGUGUCGGUCUUCCAAACCGGAUGUUGCGGGUUCGAUUCCCGUCGCUCACUCCA
rnacentral:tRNA from 1 species